GGCAGUGUGAUCUAGUGGAGAGAGCACUGGACUCGGAGUCCAGAGACCUGAGUUCUAUUCUGAGCUCUGCUG
rnacentral:tRNA from 1 species